AGAUGCACGGAUAGACAGACAGACAGACAGACAGGUAGGCAGGCAGGUAGGUAGGAAGGAAGGUAGGCGGGCAGGUAGGUAAGUAGGUAGAUGAAUAAAUUAAAAAUCUGAAAUUGUAUAAGUCCCGAUAGACAGAUAAAAAAUCUGCAAUCUUGUAAGUCCCCCUGUUGUCAACAGAGAAGAGAAUCAUACUACUCUAUACCCGUAGCAUCUCUGGAGGAGAGCCAAGUUGUACAUCUUGGUUCUAGUCUGUACUAUGGAACCAAGGUAUUUGCUAGCAGACAGUAAAGAGGAGGCUUCAUUGUGCAUAUUCCUACACUGUAAUUUUUGGUACGUUUUUCAGAUCUU